rnacentral:tRNA from 1 species
AGCCCCGUCGUCUAGCGGUCAAAGAGGCCAGAACGACUAGGGAUGGCAGGCUCUGGACCUGCUGACGGGAGUUCGAAUCUCCCCGGGGCUACCA